ACGAAGCUGGAUUCGCUAGUAAUCGCGCAUCAGCCACGGCGCGGUGAAUACGUUCCCGGGCCUUGCACACACCGCCCGUCAAGCCAUGGGGAGCCGGGGGUACCUGAAGUGCGUAACCGCGAGGAGCGCCCUAGGGUAAAACUGGUGACUGGGGCUAAGUCGUAACAAGGUACC
rnacentral:rRNA from 1 species